rnacentral:lncRNA from 12 species
CACAGGUGAACACCGACGAGCACACAGAGUUCCAGAUGCUGAUCCUCAGAGAAUCCAUGUUUAACUGAAAGGAUGGAUAAUCUUUUGGCUCAGCUCCAGCCUGAUGGAGCCUGCAUGUGGUUGUUUCAGGCUAAUGUACAAAAAGGGUGCUGGCAGCAUGUGGAACUGAAAGCAGUGAAAGUCCGAAGGACUAGGGCACCAGAGGAGGUCAUGAGGAGCUGUCAUGCCUUAUAAGCCCUGUGGAAAGAGAAAGGAAGAAUGAUUCAUUGGUUGAUGAAAGCCUCUGUAGGUAAAGUUGGUGUGUAUCUGAAGUCUACAGUGAUUUAGUACUUCAGGAUGGAUUGCCUUCUGACGUAUUGCCUGUGAAAUUUUGUUAGGGCUAGAAGUACUUUGUUGCACCAACUCCAUUAAGUGUGCAAAACUAAUGCACAACAGUCCCAGGCUUUCGGUUAUGCAGUUUUUAUA